rnacentral:rRNA from 1 species
UGAAGGUCAGGCUGAAGACCUUACCGGAUUAGCUGAGAGGUGGUGCAUGGCCGUCGUCAGUUCGUACUGUGAAGCAUCCUGUUAAGUCAGGCAACGAGCGAGACCCACGUCCACAGUUGCCAGCAUACCCUCCGGGGUGAUGGGUACACUGUGGAGACCGCCGCUGCUAAAGCGGAGGAAGGAAUGGGCAACGGUAGGUCAGUAUGCCCCGAAUCUCCCGGGCUACACGCGGGCUACAAUGGUUGGUACAAUGGGCAUCUACCCCGAAAGGGGAAGGAAAUCUCUUAAAGCCAAUCGUAGUUCGGAUUGAGGGCUGCAACUCGCCCUCAUGAAGCUGGAAUCCGUAGUAAUCGCGUUUCAACAGAACGCGGUGAAUACGUCCCUGCUCCUU